rnacentral:rRNA from 1 species
AGUGAACGCUGGCGGUAGGCCUAACACAUGCAAGUCGAACGGCAGCACAGUAAGAGCUUGCUCUUACGGGUGGCGAGUGGCGGACGGGUGAGGCAUACAUCGGACUUUACUUUUUCUUGGGGGAUAACGUAGGGAAACUUACGCUAUUACCGCAUACGACCUACGGGUGAAAGCAGGGGAUCUUAGGACCUUGCGCGAGUGAAUGAGCGGAUGUCGGAUUAGCUAGUUGGCGGGGUAAAGGCCCACCAAGGCGACGAUCCGUAGCUGGUCUGAGAGGAUGAUCAGCCACACUGGAACUGAGACACGGUCCAGACUCCUACGGGAGGCAGCAGUGGGGAAUAUUGGACAAUGGGCGCAAGCCUGAUCCAGCCAUACCGCGUGAGUGAAGAUGGCCUUCGGGUUGUAAAGCCCUUUUGUUGGGAAAGAAAAGCAGCAGGUUAAUACCCCGCUGUUCUGACGGUACCCAAAGAAUAAGCACCGGCUAACUUCGUG